GACGAACGCUUGUGGCGUGCUUAACGCAUGCAAGUCAAACGGAAAGGCCCCAUUUGGCGGGUACUCCGAAGUGUGCGAACGUGGUGAGUAACACUUGAGUAACCUGCCCUUGACUUCGGGAUAACUUCAGGAAACUGGGGCUAAUACCGGAUAGGAAUCCUUGCUGCGUGGUGGGGGUUGGAAAGCUUCUGAGGAUUUGGAUGGACUCCCGGCUUAUCACCGUUGUGUGCGUGGGGUAGUCGGCUUACCAAGGCUCUUGACAGGGAGCCGGCCUGAGAGGGCGACCGGCCACUCUUGGGACUGAUAUACCGCCCAUACUCCUACGGGAGGCAACAAUGGGGAAUAUUGCACAGUGGGUGGAAGCCUGAUGCAGCAACACCCCGUGCCGGAUGACGGCCUACGAGUUGUAAACCGCUUUCAGCACGGGCCAAUCUUGCGAAGACGGUACCUGGAUAAAAAGCACGGGCUAACUACCUGCCAUCACCCUCAGUGAUACCCAUGGUGCCAGCGUUGUCCGGAUUAAUUGGGCGUGCAGAGCUCGUAGGUGGAUGAUUGCGACAGAAGCGAAAACUUGGGGCUUAACCAUGAGCGUGCUUUCGAUACGGGUUGACUUGAGGAAGGUAGGGGAGAAUGGAAUUUCUGGUGGAGCGGUGGAAUUCGCAGAUAUCUGGAGGAACACCAGUGGCGAAGGCGGUUCUCUGGACCUUUCCUGACGAUGAGGAGCGAAAGCGUGGGGAGCGAACAGGCUUAGAUACCCUGGUAGUUCACGCUGUAAACGGUGGGUACUAGGUGUGGGGUCCAUUCCACGGAUUCUGUGCCGUAGCUAACGCAUUAAGUACCCCGCGUGGGGAGUACGGCCGCAAGGCUAAAACUCAAAGGAAUUGGCGGGGCCCCGCACAAGCGGCGGAGCAUGCGGAUUAAUUUGAUGCAACGCGAGGAACCUUACAUGGGUUGGCCAUGGUCUGGGAGUGGUCAGAGAUGGGUAUGCCUCUUUGUGGGGGUGGUUCACAGGUGGUGCAUGGCUGUCGUCAGCUUGUGUCGUGAGAUGUUGGGUUAAGUCCCGCAACGAGCGCAACCCUCUUUCAUUGUCGUCAGCACGUUAUGGUGGGGUCUCAGUGGAGACCGCCGGGGUCAACUCGGAGGAAGGUGGGGAUGACGUCAAGUCAUCAUGCCCCUUAUGUCCCGGGCUUCUCGCAUGCUACAAUGGCCGGUACAAAGAGUUGCGAGCCUGUGAGGGUGAGCGAAUGUCGGAAAUCCGGUCUCAGUUCGGAUGGGGGUCUGCAACUUGACCCCAUCAAGUUGGUGUUGCUAGUACUCGAAGGGCAGCAACGGUGCGGUGANUCCGUUCCCGGGGC
rnacentral:rRNA from 1 species